GGUAAUGAUGGCAGAGAGGUCACACCCGUUCCCAUACCGAACACGGAAGUUAAGCUCUCUAGCGCCGAUGGUAGUUGGGACCUUGUCCCUGUGAGAGUAGGAUGUUGCC
rnacentral:rRNA from 1 species